UACGUAGGUGGCAAGCGUUGUCCGGAUUUAUUGGGUUUAAAGGGUGCGUAGGCGGUCCUAUAAGUCAGUUGUGAAAUACGGCAGCUUAACUGUCGAGGUGCAAUUGAUACUGCAGGACUUGAGUACAGACGAGGUAGGCGGAAUUGACGGUGUAGCGGUGAAAUGCUUAGAGAUUACAUGGAAUACCAAUUGCGAAGGCAGGUUACUAUCAAUAUAUUGACGCUGAUGGACGAAAGCGUGGGGAGCGAACAGG
rnacentral:rRNA from 1 species